UCACGUAGACCUUGGGGGCGUAGAGGAGCCCCAGCGGCACCGAGGCCGACAGCGACAUGGACACCGUCAGCGUGGCCGUCUGCACGUGCACCUGCAUCCCAAAAACGCUGUUCUCCAGUCCAGCUGUCCUAAGGGCCUACGGUCACCGUCAGCGUGGCCGUCUGCACGUGCACCUGCACCCCAAAAACAGUACCCCAGAAUCCUACUGACCCCAAAAGCAGCUGACUGGGCAGUGCCGAAGAUGGGCUCAAAGGCGAACCAGGCCACGUGUGCCCACAGUGAUCCCCCAAAUACCCCAAG